ensembl:lncRNA
UUCCAUUCAGAAAUUGACCAUACUUUUUAUUUAGACUUAACAAAAAUAUAAACACAACAUGUAAAAAGUUGGUUUCAUGUUUCAUGAGCUGAAAUAAAAAAUCCUAGACAUUUUCCUUACAUAAAAAAAGCUUAUUUCUCUCAACUUUUGUGCACAAAUUUGUUAAUAUCCCUGUUAGUGAGAAUUUCUCCUUUGCCAAGAUAAUCCAUCCACAAGACAGGUGUGGCAUAUCAAGAAGCUGAUUAAACAGCAUAAUCAUUACAUAGGUGCACCUUGCACUGGGGACAACAAAAGGCCAUUCUAAAUUGUGCAGUUUUGUCACACAACACAAUUCCACAAUUCAAGUUUUGAGGGAGCGUGCAGUCGGCAUGCUGAUUGCAGCAAUGUCCACCAGAGCUGCUAUCAGUUCAUUGAAUGUUAAUUUCUCUAGCAUACGUCGUUUUAGAGAAUUUGGCAGUAUGUCCAACAGGCCUCACUACCGCAGACCACGUGUUACCUCGCCAGUCCAGCAAAUUCGCACAGCCAUUGAAGAGGAGUGGGACAACAUUCCACAGCCCACAAUCAACAGCCUGAUUAACUCUAUGCGAAGGAGAUGUGUGGCGCUGCAUGAGGAAAAUGGUGGUCACAACAGAUAUUGACUGGUUUUCUGAUCCACGCCCCUACCUUUAAAAAAAAAGAUAACUGUGACCAACAGAUGCACAUCUGUAUUUCCAGUCAUGUGAAAUCCAUAGAUUAGGGCCUGUUAGGUUCUGAAUAUUAUGCAGAAACACAGGAGGUUCCUCUUACUGGUAUGGUCAUGGCCCUGCCUAAGUCUAUGACCCUCAUGGGCGUGGAAAUGUGUGUGUGUGUGAGAGAUAGGACUAUAAUCAGAUGGCCUUUGGGGUGAGCUCCUGUGGCCCCCCUCCCAGCAGUGUCUUCUCUCUUCAAAUGUUGACCUUAUCUUGAGUAGAGUUCCACAUCCCUCAUGGUCCUAGUUCCUCAGCAACUGGUCUGCCUUAUCAAGGACUGAAACUAGACUCUUGGCUUUUGUCUCCCUCCUUAGGAACAUUCAUAUUCUACAGUAAUACAUUUGAACAAAUUAUGAAAUUUCUGCACAUUCCCUUUUCUCACUCAGUCACUUUCCACACAACAAGUUCCUCUUUACCCUUCCUUGACCCCCAACAUACACAUUUCUUAUAGAUGAAAACAGGGUUGGGGAGUAACGGAUUACAUGUAAUCGGUUACAUGUAGGGGAUUACAAAAACCCGGUAACUGUAAUCCGUUACGUUACCAGCAAAAAUAUUGUGGUCAGAUUACAGAUACUUUUGAAAAACUAGAUGAUUACUUUGAGGAUUACUUUUAAAUUCAGAAAGGAUGUUGAGAAAAAAAACUUUGACACUUCUCUGUUUUCUCAAUGACAUUCAACUCAGCAUUGAAAAAAGGCACAAGUUUAAGUUUGUUCCACCUGAGCAAGUCUGACCACAAGUCAGAGACCACUAUGAUGACACACUAAAUGUGUUUGAUGGAUCGCGGGAAAAGAGCAGGAAUAGGCUUUUGUAGGCUACAGUCCAAGCUACAGUGCCUUGCAAAAGUAUUCGCCCCCCUUGAACUUUGCGACCUUUUGCCACAUUUCAGGCUUCAAACAUAAAGAUAUAAAACUGUAUUUUUUUGUGAAGAAUCAACAAGUGGGACACAAUCAUGAAGUGGAA